rnacentral:rRNA from 1 species
CCCGCUGAACUUAAGCAUAUCAAUAAGCGGAGGAAAAGAAACCAACAGGGAUUGCCCCAGUAACGGCGAGUGAAGUGGCAAUAGCUCAGAUUUGAAAUCUGGUUGUAAUGACCCGAGUUGUAAUCUGGAGAGGAUGCUUUUGGCAACGAUGAAUCUGAGAUCCUUGGAACAGGACGCCACAGAGGGUGAGAGCCCCGUAAAGAUUUAAUCCUAGCCUCUAUAAAGCUCCUUCAACGAGUCGCGUAGUCCGGGACUGCUGCGCAAAUCAGGAGGUAAACUCCUCCUAAAGCUAAAUACUGGCCAGAGACCGAUAGCGCACAAGUAGAGUGAUCGAAAGAUGAAAAGCACUUUGAAAAGAGAGUCAAACAGUACGUGAAAUUGUUGAAAGAGAAGCACUUAUGACCAGACUUGGACCUUAGUGAAUCUCCAGGCUUCCCGCCUGGAUACUUUACUGGUUCAGGCCAGCAUUAGUUUCUGGCAGGGGAUAAAAAUAGUGGGAAUGUGGCUCUUCGGAGUGUUAUAGCCCGCUAUACAAUACCCUGCCGCAGACUAAGGACUGCGCAUCUGCAAUGAUGCUGGCGUAAUGGUCAUUAGUGGCCCGUCUUGAAACACGG